GUGCGAGACCGAUAGCGAACAAGUACCGUGAGGGAAAGAUGUAAAGAACUUUGAAAAGAGAGUUAAAGAGUACCUGAAACUGCUGAAAGGGAACUGAAUCGUUUCCAGUGUCUAUAAUCUAUGGCAUAUUUCAUUGGCGUGUGGGUGUGUACAGCGUUUUGGAAGUAGUUUCUGCUCCUGUCGUUGUUUUGCGCUCGCCUGCUGGUGCCCUGUGCUGUAGUGGGACGUCAGAGUCAGUUUGCAUGCUGCGGGAAAUGGUUACUGGGGAGGUAGGUCACUUCGGUGGCUAUUAUAUCCUGGUGACUAGUCGUCGUGGUUGGGACUGAGGUGCCUACAAUGUGCUUUCGAGUCUAUGGGACUCUCGUUUGGCUGUUUGCCUUGAUAGCCUGCUAUGCUGGUGAAUAUGUUGGGCGAUUGAGAUCUGUAGUAACUUGUUGCUGUUCGGGACUUUGAA
rnacentral:rRNA from 2 species